UUUGUACAAAAGAAAUGGGUUGCAUCAAAACAAAAUGAGUAUAAAGGUGAGGAAAGAGCCAAUGAGAUGAAAAGAAGUGUUUGGGGUCAUCAUAGUGAUAUCUCUCAAGCUCAUGUUUUCGAGUGCGUGUAGAACAAAUAUCUUGAAAGAGCAAAGUUUUCUAGAACAAAUCUCUCUGUUCUGAAGAAUUUAACGAUGUAUUAUGGGAGCAUUUUAAGUUCCACAAGUUGGCUCGUUAACUCGGUAAACAAUCUUAUUUUUUCAUCAGGAAUAAUAAAAUUUAUUAAUUUGUUGCUAUUAUUAUGCUAGAAAAACUUAUAUUUUAAGUAAUUUACAUGAUUUGUUGUUAUUAAAGAUAAAAACGUUUAAGAACAUUCUAGUUUUUUCCCUGUAUUUUUCAUUUAAAUGAGUAAUUUUCCCUUUUGAUUUUGUUGACUU
rnacentral:lncRNA from 1 species